GAAAGGUGCAAAUGCACCACUAUCAGAUGGACCUGCGUUGUAUUAGCUAGUUGGUGGGGUAACGGCUCACCAAGGCGACGAUACAUAGCCGACCUGAGAGGGUGAUCGGCCACACUGGGACUGAGACACGGCCCAGACUCCUACGGGAGGCAGCAGUAGGGAAUCUUCGGCAAUGGACGGAAGCCUGACCGAGCAACGCCGCGUGAGUGAAGAAGGU
rnacentral:rRNA from 1 species